rfam:Dipodomys ordii contig_33474, whole genome shotgun sequence.
GGGAAUGUGGCUUAGUGGUAGAGCGCUUGCCUAGCAUGCAUGAAGCCCUGGGUUCAAUUCCUCAGUACCA